rnacentral:lncRNA from 1 species
UGGUCCUUUGGUCAGUGAAAGUGAAUGUAUCCCUAAGUUACCCUUUUCUCCCAAUUUUUGUUUUUUUCCAAUGAUAUCGAAACAAGUAAUGGAUACACUUUAAACAUCAUGCUUUCUUUUUUCCAGUUAAACCAUCAUAUUUCUAAAAUGCAGUCAGUUCUUUGAUGACUAGGAAAUGGAGCGGUUUAGCUUGCCAACUUCGGCAAGUGCAAACCAUGCACGAAUGAUGAUGUCAAGCCUGCAUGUGGGAUGUUGUG